rnacentral:rRNA from 1 species
AGCAGUCGCCACGGUAACACGUAGGGGGCAAGCGUUAUCCGGAAUUACUGGGUGUAAAGGGAGCGUAGACGGUUAAACAAGUCUGAAGUGAAAUGCCGGGGCUCAACCCCGGAGCUGCUUUGGGAACUGUAGAACUGGAGUGUCGGAGGGGUAAGCGGAAUUCCCAGUGUAGCGGUGAAAUGCGUAGAUAUUGGGAGGAACACCGGCGGCGAAGGCGGCUUACUGGACGACAACUGACGUUGAGGCUCGAAGGCGUGGGUAGCAAACAGGAUUAGAUACCCGAGUAGUCCCUGUCUCUUAUAC